GACCUGCGGAAGGAUCAUUACUAGAGCAAAGGAUAGACAGCGCCCGCGGAGCUCGCUCCCGGGGCCACCCUACUCCGGUAGGGUUUAGAGUCGUCGGGCCUCUCGGAGAAGCUCGGUCCUGAACUCCACCCUUGAAUAAACUACCUUUGUUGCUUUGGCGGGCCGCCUCGUGCCAGCGGCUUCGGCUGUUGAGUGCCCGCCAGAGGACCACAACUCUUGUUUUUAGUGAUGUCUGAGUACUAUAUAAUAGUUAAAACUUUCAACAACGGAUCUCUUGGUUCUGGCAUCGAUGAAGAACGCAGCGAAAUGCGAUAAGUAAUGUGAAUUGCAGAAUUCAGUGAAUCAUCGAAUCUUUGAACGCACAUUGCGCCCUCUGGUAUUCCGGGGGGCAUGCCUGUUCGAGCGUCAUUAUAACCACUCAAGCUCUCGCUUGGUAUUGGGGUUCGCGGUUUCGCGGCUCCUAAAAUCAGUGGCGGUGCCUAUCGGCUCUACGCGUAGUAAUACUCCUCGCGAUUGAGUCCGGUAGGUCUACUUGCCAGCAACCCCUAAUUUUUUAAGGUUGACCUCGGAUCAGGUAGGGAUACCCGCUGAACUUAAGCAUAUCAAUAAGCGGAGGAAAAGAAACCAACAGGGAUUACCUCAGUAACGGCGAGUGAAGCGGUAACAGCUCAAAUUUGAAAGCUGGCUCUUUUAGGGUCCGCGUUGUAAUUUGUAGAAGAUGCUUCGGGUGUGGCCCCGGUCUAAGUUCCUUGG
rnacentral:rRNA from 1 species